rnacentral:rRNA from 1 species
AUUGAACGCUGGCGGCAUGCCUCACACAUGCAAGUCGAACGGCAGCACGGGAGCAAUCCUGGUGGCGAGUGGCGAACGGGUGAGUAAUAUAUCGGAACGUGCCCAGUCGUGGGGGAUAACGUAGCGAAAGCUACGCUAAUAACGCAUACGAUCUAUGGAUGAAAGAGGGGGAUCGAAAGACCUCGCGCGAUUGGAGCGGCAGAUAUCAGAUUAGGUAGUUGGUGAGGUAAAGGCUCACCAAGCCGACGAUCUGUAGCUGGUCUGAGAGGACGACCAGCCACACUGGGACUGAGACACGGCCCAGACUCCUACGGGAGGCAGCAGUGGGGAAUUGUGGACAAUGGGCGCAAGCCUGAUCCAGCAAUGCCGCGUGCAGGAUGAAGGCCUUCGGGUUGUAAACUGCUUUUGUACGGAACGAAACGGCGAGCUCUAAUACAGUUUGCUAAUGACGGUACCGUAAGAAUAAGCACCGGCUAACUACGUGCCAGCCGCCGCCGUAA